rnacentral:rRNA from 1 species
UACGGGGGGGGGUAAGCGUUGUUCGGAAUUACUGGGCGUAAAGGGCUCGUAGGCGGCCAACUAAGUCAGACGUGAAAUCCCUCAGCUUAACUGGGGAACUGCGUCUGAUACUGGAUGGCUUGGAUUCGGGAGAGGAAUGCGGAAUUCCAGGUGUAGCGGUGAAAUGCGUAGAUAUCUGGAGGAAUACCGGUGGCGAAGGCGGCAUCCUGGACCAUUACUGACGCUCAUGUGCGAAAGCGUGGGGAGCAAACAGG